rnacentral:rRNA from 1 species
CGUAGGGGGCGAACGUUGUCCGGAUUUACUGGGUGUAAAGGGUGCUCAGGUGGUUUUGUAAGUCAGAGGUGAAAUUUCGGGGCUCAACCCCGGACCUGCCUUUGAUACUGCAAGGCUUGUGUACGGAAGAGGCUGAUGGAAUUUCCGGUGUAGCAGUGAAAUGCGUAGAUAUCAGAAAGAACACCAGUGGCGAAGGCGGUCAGCUGGUCCGGUACAGACACUAAAGCACGAAAGCAUGGGGAGCAAACAGGAUUAGAUACCCUGGUAGUCCAUGCCCUAAACGAUGAAUACUAGACGUUGGGUGUAAAAACUCAGUGUCGCAGCUAACGCAUUAAGUAUUCCACCUGGGGAGUACGAUCGCAAGGUUG